rnacentral:rRNA from 1 species
GACGAACGCUGGCGGCGUGCUUAACACAUGCAAGUCGAACGGAAAGGCCUCUUUCGGGGGGUACUCGAGUGGCGAACGGGUGAGUAACACGUGAGUAACCUGCCCUUGACUUUGGGAUAACUUCAGGAAACUGGGGCUAAUACCGGAUAGGAGCUCCUGCUGCAUGGUGGGGGUUGGAAAGUUUCGGCGGUUGGGGAUGGACUCGCGGCUUAUCAGCUUGUUGGUGGGGUAGUGGCUUACCAAGGCUUUGACGGGUAGCCGGCCUGAGAGGGUGACCGGCCACAUUGGGACUGAGAUACGGCCCAGACUCCUACGGGAGGCAGCAGUGGGGAAUAUUGCACAAUGGGUGGAAGCCUGAUGCAGCAACGCCGUGUGCGGGAGGACGGCCUUCGGGUUGGAAACCGCUUUCGCUCAUGACGAAGCUUUGUGUGACGGUAGUGGGUAAAGAAGCACCGGCUAACUACGUG